AGUCCUAGACAGGAGAGUAAUGUGAGGGAAGGGGGUCCCUACCUUUAAUAAUCCUAAAGGAAAAACAGAAUUAAAAUUGAAAUAGGACUGUCCUAUUUCAAUUUUAAUUCUGUUUUUCCUUUAGGAUUAUUAAAGGUAGGGAUCCCCUUCCCUCACAUUACUCUCCUGUCUAGGACUU